rnacentral:rRNA from 1 species
AAUAGAUACCCAGGUAGUCCACGCCGUAAACGAUGUCGACUUGGAGGUUGUGCCCUUGAGGCGUGGCUUCCGGAGCUAACGCGUUAAGUCGACCGCCUGGGGAGUACGGCCGCAAGGUUAAAACUCAAAUGAAUUGACGGGGGCCCGCACAAGCGGUGGAGCAUGUGGUUUAAUUCGAUGCAACGCGAAGAACCUUACCUACUCUUGACAUCCAGAGAACUUAGCAGAGAUGCUUUGGUGCCUUCGGGAACUCUGAGACAGGUGCUGCAUGGCUGUCGUCAGCUCGUGUUGUGAAAUGUUGGGUUAAGUCCCGCAACGAGCGCAACCCUUAUCCUUUGUUGCCAGCGGUUAGGCCGGGAACUCAAAGGAGACUGCCAGUGAUAAACUGGAGGAAGGUGGGGAUGACGUCAAGUCAUCAUGGCCCUUACGAGUAGGGCUACACACGUGCUACAAUGGCAUAUACAAAGAGAAGCGACCUCGCGAGAGCAAGCGGACCUCAUAAAGUAUGUCGUAGUCCGGAUUGGAGU